AACGAACGCUGGCGGCAGGCCUAACACAUGCAAGUCGAACGUGAAGCCACCUUCGGGUGGUGGAAAGUGGCAGACGGGUGAGUAACGCGUGGGAACGUGCCUUUCGAUUCGGAAUAACCCAGGGAAACUUGGGCUAAUACCGGAUACGCCCUUCGGGGGAAAGAUUUAUCGCCGAAAGAUCGGCCCGCGUCGGAUUAGCUAGUUGGUAGGGUAAUGGCCUACCAAGGCGACGAUCCGUAGCUGGUCUGAGAGGAUGACCAGCCACACUGGGACUGAGACACGGCCCAGACUCCUACGGGAGGCAGCAGUGGGGAAUAUUGGACAAUGGGCGAAAGCCUGAUCCAGCCAUGCCGCGUGGGUGAAGAAGGCCCUAGGGUUGUAAACCCCUUUCAGCGGGGAAGAUAAUGACGGUACCCGCAGGAGAAGCCCCGGCUAACUCCGUGCCAGCAGCCGCAGUAACAC
rnacentral:rRNA from 1 species